CCAUUCCAUUGGCCUUGGACCAGAAACAGACAAAGGAUUAUCACCCUCUCUAGGAAUAACUAGCAUCUUGACGUCUGCUAUUUAAAAGAGUUCCUAUUAUUCGUUUUCAGCACUUUCCUGAAUUAAAACCAACGUCAAAGAAUUAAGCAAGCAAAAUAAAAUGAACGAGAUGAAAUAUAAUGAAUUUUUUAUUAAGCUACAAACUAGGUAAGCCUAAAAUCUAGGAUUUGUGGCAAUGUCAAGAUAUACAAAUAUUCCAAACUUAAAAUCUCAACCAUGUCUAAUCCUGCCUCCACUACUUUUCCUUCACUUGAUCACCAAAAUAUUAAUUAAGGUUAAAGGAGUUAACAUAGAAGUAGAACGCCAAAUUAUACCAAUUCCAAGCGAAUAAAUCUCAUAGUGAAGUUAAAUUUUCUGAAAGGUGAGGUGACCAAGGCCCUAAUGCAUACCACAUCCCAUGCAUACCGUUGAUAGAGCUAAACAGAGAAACUGAAAUUGGACAAUGUAGACGAAUCCCACGAGAAGUAAAGACACCAGGAUCCACAAGAAAAUCAAUUCAAGACCCUACAAGAAGCUACAUCUUUACUGAAUAUUAAUCAUUUCAAAAUGACUAUAGAAACAUAUUAAACAAGAUCUGAAUGUCGAUUCUAUAGAACACCAAAGUAAAUAAACCCACAAGCAACAAAAGCUCAAAACUCAUAGCACUCAGUUCAACAUUGAGAACUAACAGUUGCUUUAUAUUCCAACAAGAUUAAAUGAGAAAAAAUUGGGCUACGCAUUAAUAACGACUAAAGAAAACAUUAUUUAACGUUUUUAACUUGAAUCAUAUAAUCCUCUUAAUAAUGGUGUUCACUGGGGAAAAAAAGGCAAAAAUGGAUGCAAUUGCUAUCUUCGAGAUCAAAAAGGAAAGAAUUUUUCAAAUCUUUAAGUAUUAACCGAAUUCUUACACUGGAAAACAAUAGAAGCUAAAUAAAAUCCCAAAUAAGAGUUCCGUGCACUGUUAUUAGGGAGAUUUCUCUCUGGUAAAAGAGAGAUAGGGUACCUUUUUCGUAGAUGUCUGGUAAACCCUAGAGGUUUCUUCCCCGCUACUACUUGAGCAAGAUUG
rnacentral:misc_RNA from 1 species